GGGGAAUAUUGCACAAUGGGCGCAAGCCUGAUGCAGCCAUGCCGCGUGUGUGAAGAAGGCCUUCGGGUUGUAAAACUCUGUCUUUGGGGACGAUAAUGACGGUACCCAAGGAGGAAGCCACGGCUAACUACGUGCCAGCAGCCGCGGUAAUACGUAGGUGGCAAGCGUUGUCCGGAUUUACUGGGCGUAAAGGGAGCGUAGGUGGACAUUUAAGUGGGAUGUGAAAUACUCGGGCUUAACCUGGGUGCUGCAUUCCAAACUGGAUAUCUAGAGUGCAGGAGAGGAAAGGAGAAUUCCUAGUGUAGCGGUGAAAUGCGUAGAGAUUAGGAAGAAUACCAGUGGCGAAGGCGCCUUUCUGGACCGUAACUGACACUGAGGCUCGAAAGCGUGGGGAGCAAAC
rnacentral:rRNA from 1 species